CAACUUUCAAGUGCUCCUCCCCAGUAGGCCUGCCGAUAACUUGUCCAUUCAAGAGAUUUGGACGCAAUUAACGCACGGAGCACAAAGGACUGUUGGAUAACAGGAGGAGGAAUGCAGGCUGACUGGCGGGUGGUGCAGUUUGAACUGUCUGCAGCUGAACAGCAAGACGAAGGCGCUGAUAGUAGACACAUUUACACUUACACAGCCUCCCCUGACCCUCUGGACAACAGGUUAGAGUGGGCUGUGAACGCAGGGGCCUUCUACACGCUAACAAGCUCAACAAUCAGUUUAGGUUUAGGGAAGCCGGCUCAGUGAUUGGGCUGGAAUCUCUGGAGGCGCUGACGGAGAAGAAGAUGCUGUUCACAACCCCUCUUCGACAUGCUGGUUGAGAAGAGAAGUGUAUUCAGCCAAAGACCUAUACCAGCAAGAUUAAAAACACUGCAGUGAACAAACUGUGUUAACAUUUAAAAGGUCUGAAGAAUCCAAUUAUGUUGGAAAAACACAUUCUAACUGUCGUCCAUACUGUG